AUUGAACGCUGGCGGCAUGCUUUACACAUGCAAGUCGAACGGUAACAGGUUAAGCUGACGAGUGGCGAACGGGUGAGUAAUGCAUCGGAACGUGCCCGAUCGUGGGGGAUAACGCAGCGAAAGCUGCGCUAAUACCGCAUACGAUCUGAGGAUGAAAGCGGGGGACCGUACGGCCUCGCGCGAUCGGAGCGGCCGAUGUCAGAUUAGGUAGUUGGUGGGGUAAAGGCUCACCAAGCCGACGAUCUGUAGCUGGUCUGAGAGGACGACCAGCCACACUGGGACUGAGACACGGCCCAGACUCCUACGGGAGGCAGCAGUGGGGAAUUUUGGACAAUGAGCGAAAGCCUGAUCCAGCAAUGCCGCGUGCAGGAAGAAGGCCUUCGGGUUGUAAACUGCUUUUGUACGGAGCGAAAAGGCUCUCUCUAAUACAGGGGGCUCAUGACGGUACCGUAAGAAUAAGCACCGGCUAACUACGUGCCAGCCGCCGCAGUAA
rnacentral:rRNA from 1 species